GUUUGAAAUGUGUGCAGCAUGGCGUGUGCACAGCGAUCUGCUAAAGAGUACCUCAGAAACAACAGGAAAGACCUGGUGACUGGCAUGAAAAACCUUCCUCUGAUCAUUGAGAAUCUUUAUCAGAAGAAGGUUUUCAAUGACUAUGAGGUCAAAGAUCUCAAAGCCGAGAGGACAGAGUAUGAUCAAGCCAGAUGUAUAUUGGAUUGGGUCGUUAACAAAGGAGAUGAGGCCAGUUAUGAAUUACUCAAGAUUCUGGAUGUCACUAAGAAGAGGACAUUAGAUCCUGGUUUACACCACUGGAUCAGCUGUUCUCCCUUCAGAGAUGAAGACGCAGAGCCCAGCUAUUCAUUUGGUACAAAGCCUUGUAAAAACUACCAGAAACAGCUCAAGGACAAAGCAAAGGAGAAAUGUUUCUUUAAAUAUCUGUUGAAGACACAAGGAAACUUCAGUUUCAUACCUCUUGUUUUAGAGACCGACUCUGAGGUAAAAUCACCUCAAUGCAAAAUAAAUUUGAAAAGUAAAAAAUGCAAAAAGCUUCGGCCCAAGAAGCUGAGAGCUUACAUUCCUAACGAGGGACAAGCGCUAUCACCCGAGGACCUCCUGAGAUGGCAGGACAAGAACAUCCUCAUCAUCGGCAAACCUGGAGUAGGAAAGACUACAGUUGUCCAGGAAAUGCUGCGUCUUUGGGGAGAGAAGGAUGGAAGAGAGAUAGACUACAUGUUUUACUUUGAUCAAUAAUCAUGUUCUUCUAGAUGUCAUCUUGAAGAAUCAAGAGCUGUUCAGUCUUAGUCAUGUCCCAUUGUAUGCAUUCAUGAUUGUAGACUUGAUUAAGUUUAAAAAUGACACUGUAUGCAACCAUCCACACACAGUCACUGAAAUGUACAUCCACAUUUUCCGUCUUGCUGUAAAGAAACAUGGGAAUAAACAAAAUAAGCAAAUGGAUAUGUAUCUAAAAGAGAAGAAAGAUCAGAUUGAUCCCUUGAUGGAAAAUGCUUUCAGUGCAACUAAGCAGAAGUGCCUGAACCUUCCACAUAUUAGCAGUGAUGAGACAGACAUUUGUCAUGCUUUUCUGAAAAUGAUCACAACAACAGACUCGCCAACAUCUGCAACAACAUACUGUGCGUUUCUCCACAACACAAUGCAGGAAUUCUUCUCGGCUUUGUGGCUUCUUGGACAUCCAGAUGAAAUUGAGGAAGUCCUACAGCUCUGUCAGACCGAGGAGCAUAAACACAUGAGACAUGUUCUUCCUUUCUUAUGUGGACUUCUGAGUGAACACAACACCAGACUCCUCAAGUGUCUCUUCCCAGAGGAUCAGAUAAAGAAAACAUCUGACUGGUUCAUUGAGAAGCUUUUGGACACGUUUCUUCAACCUCAGAGUGAGAGUGAAGAGUUUGAUCUUCUCUAUGUGUGUCAGUGCUUGUAUGAGCUCCAGUCUCCUAAAGCCUGUUUAAUUUUCUUGGAGAAGAUGAACCAUCAGCUUGAACCAGAAGUGGAUCUUGAUCCUCAUCAGUGUUGUGCUCUGUCUUACGUGAUCAGUCAAUCCAGAGAUAAAGAGGUUUAUCUGAAUCUGGACAACUGUACCGUAGCUGAUGUAGGAAUGGACAUGAUGCUUAGCUGCUCACCAAACAUCAGGUUAAAGACUUGUAAAGAACCACUGAAGCAAACCACGUUCUUUGUAGAAUUCUUCCAUAAAUCAUCUCAGUGUGACUGCAAACUUUUUGAGGUGAGAGGACGAUACAAGCCAGAAACAUUCAAUGCUCUGCUGGAUCUGUACUCUCAUGUGAAGAACUAUGAGACUCAAACAGGCAGGAGUUAUCUUCCAGCAUUACAGUCAGUUUUCCAGUCACCUGAUGAAUGGAUCAUAGAUCUCUCAGAGAGAAAGAGCUCGGUCCUCCUGGAAGUGCUGAAGCUCCAGACAGAGAAGAAAACAGUAGAGCUGAGAAGAUGUUCAGAGGAAGAGAGUGAAGUGAUGAGUUUCCUUCAGUGUCUGCCACACAUCUCACAGCUGAGUUUCUCUGAUCUGAGUGAAAGUGAUCUAAGCAGAUUUCUUCUGAGUCUCUUCAUUAAAGCAGCAGAGAUUGAGACACAGACAGGAGAGCAGAUGCUGGAACUGUUAACAUCUCAUCUUGAAUGGACUGGCAUAUUUUAUGAUUGUGAUUUCCUGCUGGAUCUGUACUCUCAUGUGAAGAACUAUGAGACUCAAACAGGCAGGAGUUAUCUUCCAGUAUUACAGUCAGUUUUCCAGUCACCUGAUGAAUGGAUCAUAGAUCUCUCAGAGAGAAAGAGCUCGGUCCUCCUGGAAGUGCUGAAGCUCCAGACAGAGAAGAAAACAGUGAAGCUGAGGAGAUGUUCAGAGGAAGAGAGUGAAGUGAUGAGUUUCCUUCAGUGUCUGCCACACAUCUCACAGCUGAGGUUCUGGGAUAUUGAUUAUGAAGAAAGGAUGUCUGCAGAAAGAUUUCUGCUGGAUCUCUGUGUUGCUGCAGUAGAAACUGACAGAAAUACAGGAACAAGAUUCUCCACUCUGCUCUCAUCUGUGUGCAGCUACAAAACCUUCCCUUUUAAUUAUGAUGGUGAUAAUCAGAGUGAUUUUCUGCUGGAUCUGUGCUCUCAUGUGAAGAACUAUGAGACUCAAACAGGCAGGAGUUAUCUUCCAGUAUUACAGUCAGUUUUCCAGUUACCUGAUGAAUGGAUCAUAGAUCUCUCAGAGAGAAAGAUCUCCGUCCUCCUGGAAGUGCUGAAGCUCCAGACAGAGAAGAAAACAGUAGAGCUGAGAAGCUGUUCAGAGGAAGAGAGUGAAGUGAUGAGUUUCCUUCAGUGUCUGCAACACAUCUCUCAGCUGAGACUGCCCAAAGAGACUGUCCAGAAACUUGCUGAAUGUGUCUGUGAAGCUCAGGAAGAGGAACUGACUCGAUGCUUCCUGCAGAAAGUGAGCGGGGAUCUGACUUCCUGUUCCUUGAGCUGGGAACAGCUUCAUUAUUUCCUGCAGCAAAGAAUUCAACAAAUCACUGUGGACUUCAGAAAGAGCAACAUUCAAUGCCGAAUCAGUGAAAUUCUGCCAUUCCUGAACAGGAUUCAGUUUAAACGGAUGAGCUCUAGUUUCAUGCUGUGUGCAAUCAGAGAGAUCUACGAGUCCGGCUCUGCUGGGUUUGUGUCCGGUCUGUUGAGUUCAGUGGAGAACUACAUUAACCUGCAGAGCAGAGAGCUGGACUCUGUUCACUGUGAAGCCCUGCGCUUCACACUGCAACACUGCACUGCAGCUUCACUCAACCUGCUCUGGACCUCCAUACCAGAGGAAGAGCUGCAGAGCAUUCUGCCUCUCUUCACGCAUCUCUCCCACCUCAGUGUUGACAGACUGCUGUUGCUGAAGAUGCUUCACUGCUGCAGUGUCUCUGAUGUCCAGCAGGAGGCAGCAUCAGUUCUGCUCUCGAUCCUGCAGCACAAGCUGGACUUCUCCUGCCGGUCUGCUUUGGAUCUGACAACAAACACAGACUCAGAGCCUCUACAUCUGACCGCUGACGACUGCCGUGUGACGUCCAGAUUUAUUCAGAGAGCUCACUCAGACACAAAGACACGGCUGAUUCUGCAGGACUGUGAGAUUCAUACAGCUGGAAUGGAUCAGCUGUUCCCAGUGUUACGUUCUGUUCAGCUCUGUUGUGAUAAACCUCUGCUUCUUCAGUUUCUGGCUCACGUGAGGCCUGAGGAAGCCCAGUCUCUCUCUGGAGCUCUGGGUGAAGAGCUGGAUCUCAGUCAGACUCAGCUGGAUCUGCAGGUCUGGAGAGGUCUGGAGCUGAUUCUGGAAUAUUCUGAAGGACUGACAGAACUGGAUCUGAGUCAGUGCAGUCUCACCGAUCACAGCCUGGAUCUGCUGCUCCCAAACCUCCACAAA
ensembl:lncRNA